UUCAGGGCUCGAAAUUAACUUUUUUUCUCAGUGUCCCGCAGCUGUCCCGAAUUCUACUUGCACUGUCCCAGACUUAAUCACCAGCAGAGUUCCGGUGUGAUAUUGA